GACAAAGAGAAAGCUAUGUAAGUUAUGGAUAGUGUUUUUACGAUCAUGAAUUACAAGGUUUCAAAGAAUCUUUUCAAAAAAAAGGUUUCAAAGAAAUCAAGAGGGGCUCUGGGCAGUUGCCUUUCUCAUUUAAUAUGUGGGGAUAAAUUUAUGCUACGCAUGUGCUUGAAUUGAACUUAUGCUCUCAUAAAUAUCAUAAGUGAAAAUAACCUAGAUAGCAAAAUGAAAAUAUAAAAAAUAAAUGAAUGAUUCAUAU
rnacentral:lncRNA from 1 species